AUCAGGGGUAAACCUGUGGAACUCGAACGAGCGAACGGGGAGAUUCGUCGCCGUUCCURUYGWCCAMGGCGGGUUGUGGGGCAUCAGAGUUUCUCUGGAGUYUCGYUUCUCGUCGUAGUAUGGCRACAGGAGGGCGUGCACUUCUCCCUUAGUAAAACACCGCGACCCGUUGUCAUCGGUGGGUCGAACGCGCCGUGCGGUUGUCCCGCUUUCCCCUUUCACGAGGGGGAGCGGAGCCGCGGUGUCGCGGCCCUCCUGCGACGGUAGAGAACGAGGAYCGUUUCCGCCCAUACUUGGGCGUCCGCGACGUAGCGGUGUCUUUCCCCGUGAGGUCCUCGGCGCGCAAGCGUCGCGGGUAUCUYACGCGGUUGACGGGAGAGGAUUUAUUCUCUCUCGUCGCGAAGGGCACGUCAGUGGCGUCGGUUCGGACGGGAAGCGUCCCGGUCAGCGGUG
rnacentral:rRNA from 1 species